CGAUCUGAUGAUCCCGCUUAUAGGAAGUGCCGUCUGACGAAUGAAUGGCGAUUGAUAGCGUCUUCUGAUA